ACUGCUCAUAUAAAACUAGCUAAUGCUAAUAUUACUGACACACUGGUUACACAGUUCAAAUUGAACUAGCUAAUGCUAAUAUUACUUACAGGCUUGUUGCACUGCUCAUAUAAAACUAGCUAAUGCUAAUAUUACUUACAGGCCUGUUGCACUGCUCAUAUAAAACUAGCUAAUGCUAAUAUUACUUACAGGCUUGUUGCACUGCUCAUAUAAAACUAGCUAAUGCUAAUAUUACUUACAGGCUUGUUGCACUGCUCAUAUAAAACUAGCUAAUGCUAAUAUUACUUACAGGCUUGUUGCACUGCUCAUAUAAAACUAGCUAAUGCUAAUAUUACUGACACACUGGUUACACAGUUCAAAUUGAACUAGCUAAUGCUAAUAUUACUUACAGGCUUGUUGCACUGCUCAUAUAAAACUAGCUAAUAUUACUGACACACUGGUUACACGGUUCAUAUUAACCUAGCUAAUGCUAAUAUGACUGACUCACUAGUUACACUGUUCAUAUUAACCUAGCUAAUAUCACUGACACGCUCGUUGCACCAUACAUAUUUAUGUAGCUUUAGGUUACUAACACACAACUAUACCAUAUUGCACUUGCUUACACAAUCAAAUCAAAAAUAUUUAGAAAUACCUUUUUGCAUCAUCAGGUGUCACAAAGUACUUAUACAGAAACUCGGCCUAAAACCCCAAAAAGCCAAGCUAUGCAGAUGUAGAAACACAGACAGUACCUAGGCUACACAUCACAUAUUGACCUAGCAUUAGUGUUAGCAUGAACUAGCAUGAACUAACUGUCACGGGCAUCGUAAGAAGCGGACCAAAGAGCAGCAUGGUGAGCGUACAUAUUCCUUUUUAUUAGCAUGUCACCAAAAAACCAAGACACUAUGACCGGGAAGCUUAACAGUGCUAUGAUGCCUCUAACAAAGUUAACUACCCACACUGAAAGGAGGGGAAACGGGGCUACCUAAGUAUGAAACCCAAUCAGAGACAACGAUAGACAGCUGUCCCUGAUUGAGAACCAUACCCGGCCAAAACAUAGAAAUAAAGAAACAUAGAAAACAAAACAUAGAAUGCCCACCCCACAUCACACCCUGACCUAAGCAAAUAGAGGAAUAAAACGUCUCUCUAAGGUCAGGGCGUGACACUAACACACUGUUACAACAUCUAAUUCUAGAAGCCAGUGGACAUAUUGAACACAUAUCGAACAUGUGUUAGGCGAACAUUUGCCUGGGAUUCAAUACGAAUCUGGAAGUAAGCAUUUCAUUGGAAGAAGUAUACCAUGCAUAUCCCGCCCGACUAAUACAAAUUUGAACCGUGUUAGAUCAGCUUUAAAGCGAGCUUGACAUUUGAAGCUCAAGUCCUUAAUUGAUCCAUCCAGCCUCUGUUUUUUGUAUAAAAAAAAAAAGCUGAAGGAUGGGCCUGGAGAAAUGUAAUCACUCUCAAAUGAACAGACAGACCUAUGGAUGCAAGGACUGACCGUUCAUGAUAUCAACGUGAUCGUUUUCACCAUGUUUUGAGGCUAUAUAGUGUCUGUGUACAGUUCCAUUGUUUGCUUACAUUUUACAUGCGACUAGGCCGGAUGCUAGAUACUCUGAUGUGUGCAGUAACGUCCCUUGGAGAUCGUGAAAGAGUGUAGAGUGAUACCUUCGCUGAAGGUGAUGGGCAGGAGGUAUGGAUGUAUCACCUCCUGGCACGACAAAUGCUCCGUCCGCAACCACAGGGCUCUCCAGAGGGUGGUGCGGUCAGCCCAACGCAUCACUAGGGGAACACUGCCUGCCCUCCAGGACAUCUACAGCAACCGGUAUCACAGGAAGGCCAAGAAGAUCAUUAAGGACCUCAGCCACCCGAGCCAUGGUCUGUUCAUCCCGCUACCAUCCAGAAGGAGGAGACAGUUACAGUUACGGGCUUGUCCCAUCACUGCAACUCCCGUACGGACUCGGGAGAGGCGAAGUUCGAGAGCCAAGCUAACAGGGACGUAAACAAGUAUGUGCACAAAAUUUGAGCGAAAUAAGCUUUUUGUGCUCAUGGAACAUUGAAACAUCAGACCAACACUUUACAUGUUGCAUUUAUGUAUUUGUUCAUUGUAACUACUGCUUUUCUGUUCAUAUUCUGUCCAUAAUGUCUAUACACACCAUCCUACACAUAUAUUUAUAUUCCAGACUCUGACAUUGUGUCACACCCUUACCUUGGAGAUCCUUUUAUUGUCUCUAUUUUGGUUUGGUCAGGGUGUGAGUUGGGGUGGGCAUUCUAUGUUUUGUGUUCUAUGUUUUCUAUUUCUUUGUGUUUGGCCGGGUAUGGUUCUCAUACUUUGGUACCCUUUUUCCCCACCUGUGUUUGUGGGAAGUUGACUUUGUUUAGAGCACUUUGCUUUUGAGCUUCACGGUUGGUGUUUGUAGUGUUUAUUGUUUUGCUUUUGAGCUUCACGGUUGGUGUUUGUAGUGUUUAUUGUUUUGUUUGUUUGUCUGUCAUUUUGAUUAAAAUAAAGAAAAUGUACUUUU